CGUAGGCAGCGAGCGUUGUUCGGAGUUACUGGGCGUAAAGGGUGUGUAGGCGGUUGUUUAAGUUUGGUGUGAAAUCUCCCGGCUCAACUGGGAGGGUGCGCCGAAUACUGAAUGACUUGGAGUGCGGGAGAGGAAAGUGGAAUUCCUGGUGUAGCGGUGAAAUGCGUAGAUAUCAGGAGGAACACCGGUGGUGUAGACGGCUUUCUGGACCGUAACUGACGCUGAGACACGAAAGCGUGGGUAGCAAACAGGAUUAGAUACCCUGGUAGUCCACGCCCUAAACGAUGCAUAUUUGGUGUGGGCAGUUCAUUCUGUCCGUGCCGGAGCUAACGCGUUAAAUAUGCCGCCUGGGGAGUACAGUCGCAAGGCUG
rnacentral:rRNA from 1 species